rnacentral:rRNA from 1 species
UGGACGCUGGCGGCGUGCUUACCACAUGCACGUCUAACGAUGAAGCCCAGCUUGCUGGGUGGAUUAGUGGCGAACGGGUGUGUAACACGUGAGUAACCUGCCCUUGACUCUGGUAUAAGCCUGUGUAACUGGGUCUAAUACUGGAUAUGACUUCUCUUCUCAUGUUGGGGGGUGGAUAGUUUUGUUGGUCUUUGAUGGACUCGCGGCCUAUCAGCUUGUUGGUGAGGUAAUGGCUCACGAAGGCUACGACGGGUAGCCGGCCUGAGAGGGUGACCGGCGACAAUGGGAAUGAGAGACGGCACAGAAUCCAACGGGAGGCAGCAGUGGGGAAUAUUGCACAAUGGGCGGAAGCCUGAUGCAGCGACGCAGCGUGAGGGAUGACGGCCUUCGGGUUGUAAAACAAUUUCAGUAGGGAAGAAGCGAGAGUGACGGUAACUGAAGAAGAAGCGCCGGCUAACUACGUG